UCCUGAUCAAUUUCAGGAAGAUGCAGACUUGAAAGACCUGUUAGCCUUUCCAGCAUGGACAAAUGCCAAUGGACCAGACCACUUUGUUGUCUGUGAAAAUUGCUUACCAAGUGGAUCAUGGGACAUGGUCUGAAAAGACUGGAUAUGAUUUUCCAGCUUUGCCACGUCAGACAAGAGGGAAUGAUUGUGGUGUUUUUGUACUCAUGUACACCCUCUCAAUGGUGUGUGGCAUUGGGUUUCAAUUCCAGGAGAUGGAUAUGCCUAUCAUCCGUCAGUGGUGGUGCC